rnacentral:rRNA from 1 species
AUAUACGACCGUACCGCAAACCGACACUGGUGCGCGAGAUGAGUAUUCUAAGGCGCUUGAGAGAACUCAGGAGAAGGAACUCGGCAAAUUGACACCGUAACUUCGGAAGAAGGUGUGCCCUAUUAGUGUGUAGUGAACAACGAAGCAUGAAAGGGUUGCAAAAAAUCGGUGGCUGCGACUGUUUAUUAAAAACACAGCACUCUGCAAACACGAAAGUGGACGUAUAGGGUGUGACGCCUGCCCGGUGCUGGAAGAUUAAAUGAUGGGGUGCAAGCUCUUGAUUGAAGUCCCAGUAAACGGCGGCCGUAACUAUAACGGUCCUAAGGUAGCGAAAUUCCUUGUCGGGUAAGUUCCGACCUGCACGAAUGGCGUAACGAUGGCCACACUGUCUCCUCCUGAGACUCAGCGAAGUUGAAAUGUUUGUGAUGAUGCAAUCUCCCCGCGGAAAGACGGAAAGACCCCAUGAACCUUUACUGUAGCUUUGUAUUGGACUUUGAACAGAUCUGUGUAGGAUAGGUGGAGGCUUUGAAGCAGGGUCGCUAGAUCUUGUGGAGCCAACGUUGAAAUACCACCCUGGUGUGUUUGAGGUUCUAACCUAGGUCCAUUAUCUGGAUCGGGGACAGUGCAUGGUAGGCAGUUCGACUGGGGCGGUCUCCUCCCAAAGCGUAACGGAGGAGUUCAAAGGUACGCUAGUUACGGUCGGACAUCGUGACGAUAGUGCAAUGGCAUAAGCGUGCUUAACUGCGAGACUGACAAGUCGAGCAGAUGCGAAAGCAGGACAUAGUGAUCCGGUGGUUCUGUAUGGAAGGGCCAUCGCUCAACGGAUAAAAGGUACUCUGGGGAUAACAGGCUGAUACCGCCCAAGAGUUCAUAUCGACGGCGGUGUUUGGCACCUCGAUGUCGGCUCAUCUCAUCCUGGGGCUGUAGCCGGUCCCAAGGGUAUGGCUGUUCGCCAUUUAAAGAGGUACGUGAGCUGGGUUUAAAACGUCGUGAGACAGUUUGGUCCCUAUCUUCCGUGGGCGCUGCAGAUUUGUGGAAGCCUGCUCCUAGUACGAGAGGACCGGAGUGGACACACCUCUGGUGUAUCGGUUGUCACGCCAGUGGCAUUGCCGAGUAGCUAAGUGUGGAAGAGAUAACCGCUGAAAGCAUCUAAGCGGGAAACUCGUUUCAAGAUGAGAUCUGCCGGGGCCUUGAGCCCCCUAAAGAGUCGUUCAAGACCAGGACGUUGAUAGGUCAGGUGUGGAAGC